rnacentral:lncRNA from 1 species
CGUGUGCGCACGCGCUCCCAGUUUGUUCGCUCCUGGCGCUCCCAGGGCAGGAAAAUCGAAGACCCGAGCUGGCGCCUGCGCACUUCGUCUCCGCCGCUGCUGUGGUCUCGCGCCCCACUCCCCAGUUUUCCCCAGGCUCGAGCUCAGCAGCGGAGGUGGCGGUGCUGCCGGGAGCGGAUGCACCGAGUUAAAGGUGGGGGUUGGGGGUCCACAGCCUGCAGAGGGGCCAGCACACCUUUCCCAUCCUCGGGGCGCCCCCCAUCUUGCCCCCACGGCUAACGGUCGCGGGGCCGAAUGCGGCCCACCAGAAGGGCGCGGAAGGGGUGUAGGCGCGUGUCCAGGGACUAGCAGGGCUCAGCGAGGGAGGGGCGCGCCCACUAUCCCUGCUGGCCUACACCGACCCCGCCUACACCGCGGUGCAAGGACCCUAGGUGAGUAACAACCCCCUCUAGGGGAAGAAGGGA